UUUCACAGUGCUCAAAUCCCUCCUUCAUUGUUUUAACAUCUAUGUAACAUUUCUUUUUGCUUUUCCCUUCCAGAAUUGAAAGGCCCUUUCAUGGAGCACAGUGACCUGCCCCGGAGGGCUCUCCCCAGCCUGUGGUUUCAUGCUCUGCAGUCCCAUCCAAGACAACUGCAUUUGGGAUUUCUCUUCCAGCCCAUUUCCCACAGAGCAAUUGGGAGCGGCCUGAUCCUGUCUCCUUACUCCUGAAGCUCCACCACAGGUGCUGGAGGGAUUCUAGGGACAAGGCUGCUCUUACAGCCAAAAUAUCAUCAAGAUUCCUGUGUUUCUCGGAGAUCCAAGCACAGGUUCCAGCCUGCCCUGGUUUGGCUGUCCUCACCAUUUGGCCGUGGACCACCAGGUCCUGCCACCUCCUGCCAGCAUCUCCCUCUGCUCAUGGUGUUUCCUGCACCUCCUCUGAGAUGCUGAAACAAUGAACCGUGGACAAGAUUAAACCUGGUUCAAUUCUUGUCCUGUGCGUGGACGUGCACCCACAGCUCUGUUGAAGACCACAGAAAUUAUCCUGGGUGUGUUCUGCCAAGAUUUCGCCUUAAACAGAGAAAAGAUGGAAACUGGAGCGUCUUACAGCUGAAAACUGCUGUCUGCUGUGUUGUUCCCUGGGACAGAGAAGAGCCUGUGUAUAAUCAGCACUGAGCAGGGAAACAUCCCUGCUGUCCAGCACAGUCAUUUUCUUCAGUGUUGGACAAGUGCAAAAAGGACAGAAAAACCACUGACAAUGGUCCUGUCUAGGGAGUUGCAAUCUUACAUCCCCCACCCUCCUCUGCUUCUGAUGCUCAGGUUUAUGGAGCUCCAAACUCAAGCUUCAGAAGGGCUUUCUAGGUAGUUACAUCAGGUACUUCAAUUUCAUUCAAGCAGGUCUUGUUAUGGGAAUUACUUUUGUGGUAGUAAUGAGGUUUUCAUCUCUACCCUUUACUAGGGAUUGCACACUUGAAAUGGAGACAGGCUGCAGCUGAAUUCCAGUA